AUACGGAGGAUGCGAGCGUCAUCCGGAUUUAUUGGGUUUAAAGGGAGCGUAGGUGGGAUAUUAAGUCAGCUGUGAAAGUUUGGGGCUCAACCUUAAAAUUGCAGUUGAUACUGGUUUCCUUGAGUACGGUACAGGUGGGCGGAAUUCGUGGUGUAGCGGUGAAAUGCUUAGAUAUCACGAAGAACUCCGAUCGCGAAGGCAGCUCACCGGGCCGGAACUGACACUGAUGCUCGAAAGUGCGGGUAUCAAACAGGAUUAGAUACCCUGGUAGUCCGCACAGUAAACGAUGAAUACUCGCUGUUUGCGAUACACUGUAAGCGGCCAAGCGAAAGCGUUAAGUAUUCCACCUGGGGAGUACGCCGGCAACGGUGAAACUCAAAUGAAUUGACGGGG
rnacentral:rRNA from 1 species